rnacentral:rRNA from 1 species
GACGAACGCUGGCGGCGUGCCUAAUACAUGCAAGUAGAACGCUGAAGGAGGAGCUUGCUUCUCUGGAUGAGUUGCGAACGGGUGAGUAACGCGUAGGUAACCUGCCUGGUAGCGGGGGAUAACUAUUGGAAACGAUAGCUAAUACCGCAUAAGAGUAGAUGUCGCAUGACAUUUGCCUAAAAGGUGCAAUUGCAUCACUACCAGAUGGACCUGCGUUGUAUUAGCUAGUUGGUGAGGUAACGGCUCACCAAGGCAACGAUACAUAGCCGACCUGAGAGGGUGAUCGGCCACACUGGGACUGAGACACGGCCCAGACUCCUACGGGAGGCAGCAGUAGGGAAUCUUCGGCAAUGGACGGAAGUCUGACCGAGCAACGCCGCGUGAGUGAAGAAGGUUUUCGGAUCGUAAAGCUCUGUUGUAAGAGAAGAACGAGUGUGAGAGUGGAAAGUUCACACUGUGACGGUAUCUUACCAGAAAGGGACGGCUAACUACGUG